UACGUAGGGGGCGAGCGUUGUCCGGGUUUAUUGGGCGUAAAGAGCUCGUAGGCGGCUUAGCAAGUCGGGUGUGAAAACUCCAGGCUCAACCUGGAGACGCCACUCGAGACUGCUAUGGCUAGAGUCCGGUAGGGGACCACGGAAUUCCUGGUGUAGCGGUGAAAUGCGCAGAUAUCAUCAGGAACACCGGUGGCGAAAGCGGCCCACUGGGUCUUAUCUGACGCUGAGGGACGAAAGCUAGGGGAGCGAACGGG
rnacentral:rRNA from 1 species